GACGAACGCUGGCGGCGUGCUUAACACAUGCAAGUCGAACGGAAAGGCCCUGCUUUUGUGGGGUGCUCGAGUGGCGAACGGGUGAGUAACACGUGAGUAACCUGCCCUUGACUUUGGGAUAACUUCAGGAAACUGGGGCUAAUACCGGAUAGGAGCUCCUGCUGCAUGGUGGGGGUUGGAAAGUUUCGGCGGUUGGGGAUGGACUCGCGGCUUAUCAGCUUGUUGGUGGGGUAGUGGCUUACCAAGGCCUUGACGGGUAGCCGGCCUGAGAGGGUGACCGGCCACAUUGGGACUGAGAUACGGCCCAGACUCCUACGGGAGGCAGCAGUGGGGAAUAUUGCACAAUGGGCGGAAGCCUGAUGCAGCAACGCCGCGGGCGUGAUGACGGCCUUCGGGUUGUAAACCGCUUUCGCCUGUGACGAAGCGUGAGUGACGGUAAUGGGUAAAGAAGCACCGGCUAACUACGUG
rnacentral:rRNA from 1 species